GAAGAAGAAAAGAAGAAUAGCAAUAUUAUCAUAUGCGAGGUUGUUAAUUCAUCAAAGGCGGCUCCUGAGUAUACAUACCGUGUUUAUCUCGCCUGCCUUCUUAGGAAAAAUCCUAUACUCAAGGUAUCAUUCGAAGGGGCGACAUACCCAAUUCUCGGAUUCCUCAAGCAACAGAUGUAGUGUUGUCAGUCUCUGAAGAUUCGAAUCCGUCUGCUCCUAGGCAAAAACAGAGGGAUGAUUGGGAUAUACUAAAAGCCACAGUGUAUUGAGGCUUAGUGGAGUCAGUCACCAGCCUCUUCGUGUUUGAACAACAGCAUCAAGCGGCGCCAAAACAUGUCAGUUACUUUCAUCUUGGGCAUAGCCAACCUUAUUGGUGGACUGACUCUCAUUUUUCAGAAUAUUGCUGAUCUGAGAGAUAUCCGAGACAUGAACGAGGAAAAAAUGAGAAGGUCGUCCACUAUUGGCUCAAGCUCAGGAGGUGGUCGAAAGCCCGGCUCCACAUGGUUCUAGCACUACCGUCACACAUGGUGUUCGGGCCACUUCCACCAGUGCUCUGCGGGUUGUCGUUCCACAAGAGCAAUGAUGGGGAGAACAAGAUGAUGAACGUCGCCGGUGCUUUGCUCGCCUGCAUCGCGCUGCUUGCGCUCGGGACGUGCAUGUCCACAGAAAAGCCAUGACAUACUUCAAGACUCUAAUUUACUACCUGACCAUCGCCGUGAGCUUGUCCGGGAUAUCGUACGUUGCCGGUGUGCUGAUCACGAGGCUUCUCAAACACUUUGGCACCAUCGAUCUAGGUGGUGCAUUGGCUCCUCAUACUUCUCUAGGCCUGUUGUUCUCUCAUUUAGGUCGUGCACAUACGUCUGCCUAGGCCUCAAUAAUCUAAUGGCUCAAG